rnacentral:lncRNA from 1 species
AGACUCGGCCUCCGCUUGUGGUGCCGAAGAAGCCCUAGAUUCGGCGGCGAAGCCCUCAACGACUUGCCCUGCUGCAUCGCGUACAAUUCCGGCGAUAGAACAAGUAAACGCACCUGGAACCCAUGACGCAUCAACGUUCAUCUUGAUCUCCCAUCUGUUUGGUGGCUUCCAGCGAACCGGUAAGUUUCGAUUUAGGGUUUCUGCUUUCGGUUUCAUCGUCCAUCUGCUGAAAGUGAUGCUUUGGUUUUGUGCUAGCUCCAGUAGAUCCGCUGGUUUUGGGGGCUGUGCUCUGAAAAUCCAAUCGUUCCGGGCCUUCCAGAUCUGCCAUAGAACCAAGCCGAUGAACUCCCGUGCAGGUACGUCCCUUCGUGAGUCAAAUACCUCCAUCAACCACUGAUCAAAGCGCUUUAUUUGUCGUGUGAUAUUUGCGCCCUGUAAUCGGUGGUCCUCCCAUAUUUUUUUAGUCCAUUUGCAUAAUAGAAACAGAUGCUCUGUGGUUUCGGUUUUUGAGGAACACAGUGGGCACAACGGGUCGGUUGUGAUUGUUCUUUUGUAGAGAUUUUCUCUGGUGGGUAUAGCAUUCUGACAGAGACUCCAGAGAAAGGUUCUAAUUUUCGGGGGUGCUGAGAGACUCCAGAUCUGAGUCCAUAGGGAUCUUGGUGGCUUGAAAGAACAUGACGCCCUGUUUUGGUUAGCGCUUAUAGUUGAUGGGUAAGCGUUGUUGUAUCCACUCUUUACUGAAUACUUCCCUGCUCUGUUUCCUGUCCAGACUAAUGUGUCUGGUUUAGGGUCUUGACUCAAAGGGAUUGCUAAGAUCUCAUUAGCGAUGUUUGCAUCAAAGAGCUGUUGAAUUUUUUGCUGAUCCCAAACUUGAGGGUUUGCUGUAAUCAACCCUGAGACCAUAGUAGGUUCUUGGUGAUUUGCUUGUCCCCCGAUAACUCCCUGUGCUAACCAUUUGUCUUCCCUUAUGUUAAUAGAUUUUCCAUCCCCCACUGACCAUUUUAUAUUUGCUUCUAUUGUGUCUCAUCCAAGCAGCAAACUUUGCCAACCCCAUGAUGAUCGUUGGCCCUUACGUGCUGUCCAGAGAUCGCCAUGUGGGAAAUAGACGCCUUUCAGUACUUUGCUCCAUAGGGCAGUUGGAGAAUUGGAUAAUCUCCAAGCUUGUUUACCAAGCAUUGCACGAUUAAAGAUAAGCAAAUCUUUAAACCCCAUCCCUCCUUCAUCCUUUCGGGUUUUCAAAACUUCCCAAUUUUUCCAAUGCGUCCCUCGCUGAGCAUCUCCUUUUUGCCACCAAAAUGAUGCUAUGCGUCUUUCUAUUGCACGACAGAUGGACACGGGUAACUUGAAGAUGGACAUUGCAUAAGUUGGUAUGGCCUGCACCACACUUUUGAUCAAAACCUCCUUCCCCGCUUUGGUAAGUAGUUUUUCUUUCCAGCCCUCCAGCUUUGAAUUUACUCUGGCUAAUAUCCAUGCGAACAGUUCUUUCUUUGAUUGUCCCCAUUCCGUAGGUAUUCCUAAAUAUUUGCCCGUCUUUUCAAAAACAGGAACUCUCAAGGCUUGGGCCAUGUUUCUUCUUAAUGGUAAGGGACAAUUGUUGCUAAAAUAUACCCCUGACUUGUUUAAAUUGACAGCUUGUCCAGAUGCAUAGCAGUACUGGUUAAGUGUAAGUGACAAAUUCUGACAUUCCACUAAAGUUCCAUCCAGAAAAAAGAUAACAUCGUUGGCAAAAAGUAAGUGAGAUAGCUUAGGACAAAACCUGUUCAACUGUAUGCCUUUGAUGCUGCCUUCUGCAAUUGCUUUUUUCAUCAGCCAUGUUAAUACAUUUGAGAUUAAGAUGAAUAAAUAUGGUGAAAGGGGGUCGCCUUGCCUGAGUCCUCUCGAGGGGUUGAAAAAAGGGGUGGGUUCUCCAUUAAUCUUCACACUGAAUGUCACUGUUGAUAUGCAUUGCAUGAUAAGGGACACCCACUUGGCACAGAAACCCAUUUUCAGCAUACAAUCCCGUACAAAAUCCCAUUCAAUUCUGUCAUAUGCUUUCUGCAUGUCGAGUUUUAAUAAUGACUGACAUUUUUUCUUUCUCUUUGUAAUGCGUAGCUGAUGCAACACUUCCUGCACUAUAAAGAUGUUGUCCUGUAUCUGUCUGCCUUGAACAAAUGCACUUUGCUCUGGUUCUAUAAUAUCUGGCAGCCACUUCUUUAAUCGGUUUGCUAAUAUCUUUGAGAUAAUUUUAUAACUGAAAUUGCAUAAACUGAUGGGUCUGAAUUGUCCAAUUGUCUCAGGAUUUUUUACUUUGGGAAUCAAGGAAAUAUGUGUUUGAUUAAUGAGAGGAUCCAGAGUACCUGUGUUGAAAAAGUUUUGCACUAACUGGAACAGGUCAGGCUUUAGCAUUUCCCAUGAUUUUUGAUAGAAAAGCCCGUUGAAACCGUCAGGGCCAGGAGCUUUUAAAGCUCCUAAUUGAAAGACUGCUGCAUGUACUUCCUCAAACGUGGGAUUAGCCACCAGAUCUGCAUUGAUGUUCUCAUCGACAGGGGAUAGGCAUUGGUUAAGGACAGGCUGGUAGUUUCUCGGCCCUUCUGUUUUAUAUAAAUUUUUGUAAAAUGAUUGAAUAUGAUUUCUGAGUGCGACAGAAUCCCGACACCAACUGUUGUCUUCCAUUUGCAGCAUUGUUAUGUUGUUUCUCUGCCUCCUCUGUAUAGUUGUUGCAUGAAAGAAGCGGGUAUUUUUAUCACCCCAUUGCAGCCAUUUUAUACGUGACCUCAUACCCCAAAAUUGCUCUUCCUGUUUCCUCAGUGUGUCUAUCUGGUGUAUAAUGCUUUGAAUCUCCUUCCUGCUUGUAGACUGGUCUGGUUGAUUGGUUAGCUCUGUUAAAGUCUGAGUGAGCUCUUUUAUCCUCCCAUGUGCAUUGGCAAACUUCUCUUUGCUCCACUUUAUCAGUCCUGUUGAAGUCACCUUUAGUUUCUCUGAGAAAUUGGCCUGUUGAGAAGCUGUUUGGCUCCAGGUUUGAUGAAUAAAUUCAUGAUACUCUACGUGUUUUGUCCAGAAAGCCUCCAUCCUGAAAUCUCUUUUCCUUUUCUUUUUUCCAGGGUAUAGCCGAAGGACAAGGGGGCUGUGAUCUGAGCCGAUGGCUGGAAGAGCUUGGAUUUCUGCUUCAUGAAAGGUGAUUCUCCAUUCCAAAGAACAUAAAGCCCUGUCUAGUCGUUUUUUAACCAAAUUCUCCCCUUCCCUGUUAUUUGCCCAUGUAUAAGCACACCCAUGACUAUCAAUUUCCAUUAAAGAUAACUCAUUUAGCAUAUUUCUGAAGGCUGCUAUUCUAUUAUUAUCAGCUUCUCUCUUCCCCACCUUCUCCCAUACAUAUAAUAUCUCAUUAAAAUCUCCCAUGCAUAUCCAAGGAACAGAACUGCAAGGUUUAAGAGUCUUUAAUUUUUGCCAUAAUGUCAACCUCUCUUCAAAGUUUGUAGAGGCAUGAACAAAUGUUAUCUGCAUGAUAGAUCUGCUUUCUGGAUCUGUGCAUUCCACAUUGAUAAACUGCUUGGAACUGUCUUUCACCUGCAAUUUUACUCCCUCAUUCCACAUUAAAGCUAAUCCCCCUGCUAUGCCUGUCGGAUUCUCUAGGAAUAAAUGCUGGAAUUGUAGUUUUUUGCACACACUUUCCACCAUCAUUGCUUUGUUUUUUGUUUCCAUAAGAAAAACUAGACUGGGCCUUUCAAGAGCGAUUAAAGCUCGUAGUUCCUGGAUUGUCAGGGGGUUGCCCAGCCCCUGACAAUUCCAACUAAUAAUUUUCAUGUUGUUGUUGGUGGCUUAUUAGGGCUAGCCACCAAAGCCCAUUAUGUUCCAUUUUUAAUCACCUUAACAGGAGUCUCUAGAAGGUCCGUAUCAUCUAUGAGAAGAGGAAUUGGCUCAAGGACGCACUUCUGCUUCUUUGCUUUCUGCACCUUCAUAUUCUUUUUAUUGCUUUUUCCAACUUUCAGGGAAGUCUGUUUGGGAGAUUCAGGGCAUAUUAUCUGUUUGCCAUGAUCUUUGUUUUCUUUCUUACUUGCUGCAAUUUCUUCCAUUGGCUCUCGUUCAUUAAAACUUUCUGGUCUCUUUUUGCUGCAGUCUGCAGUUCGCAUAUCAGGGGCUUGCUCUCCAACUAUGAUUUCCUUUCCACUAGCUGUGGAAUAUGAGAUAGGUAUAGUCUCUUCCACUAUGAGUUCUUCUAUUUUGCCAUAAAAAGCUUCCCAAUAAGGGCUGUGCUCGCUUGCUUCUGCUUUCAACCAGGGUCCAUAUGCGCCUAUUUUGUUGACUACCCAUGGUGAUUGCUCAUAAGGAAUUUCUGCACAGUCUGAGGCAUAGUGACCAAUUCUUCCACAGGAGUAGCAAUAAUGAGGUAAGCGCUCAUAUUUGAAUUCCACCCACAGCCAUUUAUUACCGAUAUCCAAGAUAGCCCCUGAUUUCAGUGGAUUAUUCAGAUCGAUUUCCACUCUUACUCUUCCUCCUUUUUGCUGAAAAUUCCCUGUUGAUUCUAGUUGGAUUUCCAGAACCUGACCUAGUUUUCUUCCCAGAUCUUGGAACAUUGUAUCUACCCUCCAACCAGGGGGAAUACCUCCUAUUCGCACCCAAAAUGCUGAUCUGGAAAAAUCAUAGCAAUGUUCUGGAAUUUCAGGCUCGCACUGUUUUAGGACCAGCAAAUUGCUGGCAUAAGACCAAGGUGCAGUCUUCAUAACUCUCUCUUUUUCCUCCUCCGAUUGAAAGACAAAAGAAAAAAGCCCUGGUUCUUUUUGUACACACGUGACAGCUUCAGUUUUCCAUGCUUUCUUCAUUGUAGAGAUAAAUGCUGGAUAAUUCACAUUGGGCUUAGAGUAUAAUUUACCCAAAAGAGUACGUUUGCAUUCAUCCCUUUUUUGUGGAGAUACCUCAGAACUUACUUCAACCACAUCAUCCUCGGACCAUAGAUGUCCAAGACUUUUACAUAAUGCUGCCACUCGCAGCUCAUUUUCUUCCUUACUAUCCAUGCACUCUCUCUGUAGGUAUGGAGGUUUUCAAAAAAGAACUUCAGAGAUGCAUGCCUAAGAUGAGGGAGGGCUUGAAGGGAGCUCGAUAUAAGACAACUCAGUGAACAUAUUCAGAGAGAUAGAG